GAACAAAAGUUUACAGAGUUUGUUGAAAUACUUACACGAGUUACACACAUGAAAGGAAAGGAGAACCUUACAAAAAGGACACUUUGUGGGUUUUCAUGUUUCUGGCUACUCUUUGUGUACUAAUUCAAUUAAAUGGAAAUGUAACACAAAGAGUUGCUGGGGAGGUAGCCCAUGUUAACUUACAACAAACAAGAGAAAUGUAUUAUAACAAAG
rnacentral:lncRNA from 1 species